rnacentral:rRNA from 1 species
UACGUAGGGGGCAAGCGUUGUCCGGAUUUAUUGGGCGUAAAGAGCGUGUAGGCGGCUUUACAGGUCCGUUGUGAAAACUCGAGGCUCAACCUCGAGACGCCGGUGGAAACCGUAAAGCUAGAGUCCGGAAGAGGAGAAUGGAAUUCCUGGUGUAGCGGUGAAAUGCGCAGAUAUCAGGAAGAACACCCGUGGCGAAGGCGGUUCUCUGGGACGGUACUGACGCUGAGACGCGAAAGCGUGGGGAGCGAACAGG